CAUGACUAUCAGCUUCCUAAUAUCAAAAGCAUAAACAAAAAAAUAGCAUCAACUAUCUCCCUAAAGACUUGGUCUUCAAGCACUUGUUGCAUAUCCAGUUUUAAGCAACUCCUUAGCAAUUAUUCAACCUAUUAUUCAGUCCACAUGUAGCUGUUUAAGCACUUUCCAACAAAAAUGAUCAAGAUUUAUGCAAUUGCCUUUGCAAAUGAAUGCCAAUUGGCAAUACUGAUUCAAGAUCAUUAAAAUUUUGCAAUUUUCUUGUACUACAUCAAAGCUAAAUCCAUUGUCCUUGGACAAAUGUGUUCGUGCCAAAGAUGAAAUAACUUAUUGUCAGUUAAGCACCAACCUCUGUGCUAUCACAAGAUGCACAUGAAUAUUACCAUAAACUAGCUUACAAAAUGUCUACAUGGUAAGGGGCACAAAUCAACCACCAUUACUAAUUUAUAAUAGCAUUCUCACUUUUCGGCACCAAAUAACUGAGACAGCUUAACCACCAUUACUAGUUAGGCGCAUAAAUCAACAAUCAUUACUAAUUUAGAAUAACAUGGCAGUAGUCCCCUCCAUAGUAUGCUCUAUAACCGUUUUUCUUUCUUGAUCUGACUUGUCCAUUUACAUCAUCCUUGCAUAACACCAUAGCAUAACAACUGAGUAUUCACUUUCUCCAGCACAUUUGAAACAACUCAGACAUAGUGCCUACAGCAAAAGAAUUAGAGCCUUAUUUAUAAAGAAAAAAACACAUUUGGUCAUUGUAGGUGGAAGUGUGAACUGAAGCAAAAUAAAUAUAUAUUUACUCCACAAUUGCAGUAACCAAUAACCAUUACAGAAUCAGCUGUUUCACAACGAUUGCAAAAC
rnacentral:lncRNA from 1 species